rnacentral:rRNA from 1 species
GAUGAACGCUGGCGGCGUGCCUAAUGCAUGCAAGCCGAACGGCCUGAUUUAUCAGGCAGUGGCAGACGGGUGAGUAACGCGUAAGAACUUACCCUAAAGUGGGGGACAACCUCGAGAAAUCGGGGCUAAUACCGCAUACGCUCCGCAAGGAGGAAAGCUACGGCGCUUUAGGAUGGGCUUGCGCCCGAUUAGCUAGUUGGUGAGGUAACGGCCCACCAAGGCUACGAUCAGUAGCUGGUCUGAGAGGAUGAUCAGCCACACUGGAACUGAGACACGGUCCAGACUCCUACGGGUGGCUG